rnacentral:rRNA from 1 species
GACGAACGCUGGCGGCGUGCCUAAUACAUGCAAGUAGAACGCUGAAGGAGGAGCUUGCUCUUCUGGAUGAGUUGCGAACGGGUGAGUAACGCGUAGGUAACCUGCCUGGUAGCGGGGGAUAACUAUUGGAAACGAUAGCUAAUACCGCAUAAGAGUAGAUGUUGCAUGACAUUUGCUUAAAAGGUGCAAUUGCAUCACUACCAGAUGGACCUGCGUUGUAUUAGCUAGUUGGUGGGGUAACGGCUCACCAAGGCGACGAUACAUAGCCGACCUGGGAGGGUGAUCGGCCACACUGGGACUGAGACACGGCCCAGACUCCUACGGGAGGCAGCAGUAGGGAAUCUUCGGCAAUGGACGGAAGUCUGACCGAGCAACGCCGCGUGAGUGAAGAAGGUUUUCGGAUCGUAAAGCUCUGUUGUAAGAGAAGAACGAGUGUGAGAGUGGAAAGUUCACACUGUGACGGUAUCUUACCAGAAAGGGACGGCUAACUACGUG